rnacentral:sRNA from 1 species
UUAGACUCUGGUCACAAUAACCAACUUCGGCUCCUCCAUUAUCCUCCAUUGCAGGCUGCAGCGUUGGAGAACGAACGGUAUGCCCGUAUGUCUGCUCAUACAGAUUGGAGUUCCAUUACCAUACUCUUCCAAGAUGAUUGUGGCGGCCUAGAGGUUGAAAAUAUCAAGCGGCUAGGCCAGUUCAUUAGAGCCACGCCGAUCGAAAACGCUCUUGUCAUGAAUGUUAGCGAUCUCCUUCAAAGAUGGUAAUGAUAAUCUUCGCUCCACAUCUCACCGCGUUACUAUGCCGCCUUUUACAGAUACGUUCGAUGAACCCAAUCGCAUGGUUAAGGAACGUUACUCGAUCCCCUAUUUUAUCGCCCC